CGUCGACCCUCACCCAAGAGAAAAUAAAGGAGUUUUCACUCCCUUUCCAAGCAAGCUAAAGCCAACCCUCUCUUCUUCUCCUCUCUUUUGUUCUUCAAGAAACCAACUCCUCUCACCAUCUUCAAACUUAUGACUCCGUAGCAAGUGAUAUUGUGUUGCUCUUCAUCCACACGGUCGUCCCUCUAUUUAGUCAUCCACUUGUGUUUUGGAAGGGGCUAAGAGCUUAAGGUAAUGAUGAAAAGGCUGGGUAGCAAGGCAUUACUGCAGAGAUAGAGGCAGACGCUUAGGACCUUCCCUAACUAGAACAGUUAUGUUACGGAUGAUGGGUUAUGUGUCUGUAUAGACUUUUUAUGUUGGGAUGGACUCUGAG